rnacentral:tRNA from 1 species
UCCCUGGUAGCUCAGCUGGUAAAGAAUCUGCCUGCAAUGCAGGAGAUCCCGGUUCGAUUCCUGGGUUGGGAA